UACUGUUGAGACGUCGCGCUCGGUUGAAAUACUCUGCACGAACACCCCUCGUACGAACCGUAAGUAACCCAAAAGUGGGUAAGGAUCAGUCAAGCUUUGAGUCUAUCUGACUGACAGGGCGGAAUAAACAAACGCAAACAAACACAAGAAAACGAAUUGAACAGUUGGUCCUUUGGAGAAGGUGAAAUUUAUUGCCAGCGUUUGUAGAUUCAGUUCUAAUUAUUUAAAGCGUUUCGUUGUGCGAAAGUGUGGUUGACGGCGUACCUUGUUGGCCAAGGUGACAGUGUUGUAGAUCGAGUCCUGGAAAGAGAAAGAAAAAUGUUAGGUUAGGAAAUUAAAAACAAUGAAUUGAUUAGUAACAGCUACUUACUUACCUAUAGUGUUUGCGGCUGGUACGGCUCACGACGUUGGGUGAUUUAGGAGUCGAACGGGAAACCAAUCGUGAGUAACUUUACCUGUGAAGAAAAUACUAGUGAAUUAAUAAAACUUAUUAGCUUUUAGCGAUUACUUAACAACUACAUCCCGGUGUGAUCCGCUCAAGAGAAGGUGUCCGAAAUCCUCCCCAACAAAUCUAAAAGGAUUGCCCAAUUAUGAUACCAAGCACUACCAGCCGGAGCUGCUACAAACAAGAUCUUUACCGCUAUCUGUACCGGUCGGGGUUGACCAGCGAAUGCAUUGGAACAGAGCGACCGGAACAGACUCCCGGUGGCCCGCACAGACAUCAAUUACUCGAGGAAAAUAUCGAUAGUGGUGCGAUGGGUGAUACAAAACCAAAAGCAACCAACAGGAGUUCCAGCGGACGCCUAGCCAGACUACGGCAGCAGAAACUGGCCGUUCAGGAAGCUUUGCUGAAGAAGCGGCAGGAGCUGACCGACUUGCAGGCAAGGAUUGAGCAGGAUUACGAAGAGGAUCGCAGAAAGUUUGAGAUGGAGUGGGAGAUGCGCUACAACAACCUGCGAUUGCGGGAUGAAGGCGUAGCCGGGAACAAUAUCAAGGCUGGAGAGGAGCAGGGAGAGGAGAAGAAGGAUGAGUUGCUGGAUAGGGUACGGAGGUACGAGGUCGGAAGUACGAUGGCGGAACUAGCGGAGACGACGAACGUUGUUCUGGAGAAACUUUUCGUGACGGAAUCAGGGUCAGGUGCUAGGGUGGUCGACAUGGAGUCACCAGCUGGCACAUCCGGUUCAGUUUGCGCGUUGGCAAGUUUUUCUCGAGAAUGCGAAUCUGAGGAGCUCUCGUUAGAAGUUCACCUUGAGGAAACGGCGGUACCAACUCGAUCUGGAAGUAGUCUCAAUCCUGCAUCUGCCACAAACGCUCUAACUGCUGAGAUACCAACGUCCCCGAAUGGCAUUUCCGGGAAUUCAUUUGCUAACGAUCUGGUGUAUCAGGACGCUUCACUGCAAAAGCCAAAAGACUCCUGCUGUCCGGAACAAGCGGAAUCGUGCAUAUUGCUGGACGGACAUGAUGAGGAUGUGGACGAGUUUCGGUUGAAAUCAGGGCGACUAAAGUUGAAGGAAGAAGAACUCGUAGGGCAAGGAAAAGGAACGCUACUACAGAGGACUUCUUCAGGGCAACAAGCUGUAGACCAGAAGCGACAACUUCCACAGAAGCCUAGGUGUCAGCCGUUGCAGAGCAAUGCGUUGCAAGAUUCCGGAGAAGACAGUCUCCCGACGACCGAAAAAGGAUCUAGGCAACUUCUGAGCUGUGGAACGACAGUGAAGGAAGAAAUCAAUCGCUUUGGCCAGACACAGAUCGACAGCGCGUUUGUCGACACCAGUCGAAGGUGUGGAUAUUCAGGUGCAGCGAAGAAGGUGGUCUGGUCGAAAGCGAAUAAGAAGAAGCUGAUCGUGCGCACGGAUGAGCGCGAAAGGAGUUUGCUGCUGAAAGAGCGGUGGUUGAUGAUGGGUAGGAAACCAGCGUCACUCACAACAAAAACUCGUCGAAGCAAUCCGUGGCGCGGAACAGUUGGGUGGAGGUACACCGAUGGAUGGAGAAAGAUAGGGCCUGUAGCAGGUCGUGGCAGCACGGUGUGGGACUGGUACGAAAAGGUGCCGCAUCGACGCUGUAAGCGAAAGUACGAGUACGUGCCGAAAUUGGAUCAGCAGCAGUUAGGACUGCGGAUGCUGGAGGAAGAGGAAGCUGCUUUAGAUCCGGAGUUGGUUGCCAAAGGUGCUCGCAAGAACAACAGCUCGGCAACGAUCUACGCAUUCUGUGUUGAUACGUCGCCACAGAUGACGGAGAACGAGAGAUUCCCGAGGAGUUGGACACUGCAGUUGGCGUUGGGGGAACGGCCAAGCAGGAUCCAGAUCUGCAAGGGGCAGGACAAUCACCUGCUGCAUGAGCUGUUGAAGCAUCUUCCUGAGGAAGUGGACUCGGCAUCGGAAAGCGUCGAACGGAUCCCCAAGAAGGAAACGAUCGAUGGACGAGAUAAGGCAAUGCAGCUGGCUGUACGACGAGCGCGCUUUGGUAGUAGGCGUGUAAGCCUGGACCGGAAGUUCCGGACCAUCUUAACGGGUCGGGGUAUGUUGAGACGUCGCGCUCGGUUGAAAUACUCUGCACGAACACCCCUCGUACGAACCGUAAGUAACCCAAAAGUGGGUAAGGAUCAGUCAAGCUUUGAGUCUAUCUGACUGACAGGGCGGAAUAAACAAACGCAAACAAACACAAGAAAACGAAUUGAACAGUUGGUCCUUUGGAGAAGGUGAAAUUUAUUGCCAGCGUUUGUAGAUUCAGUUCUAAUUAUUUAAAGCGUUUCGUUGUGCGAAAGUGUGGUUGACGGCGUACCUUGUUGGCCAAGGUGACAGUGUUGUAGAUCGAGUCCUGGAAAGAGAAAGAAAAAUGUUAGGUUAGGAAAUUAAAAACAAUGAAUUGAUUAGUAACAGCUACUUACUUACCUAUAGUGUUUGCGGCUGGUACGGCUCACGACGUUGGGUGAUUUAGGAGUCGAACGGGAAACCAAUCCUUUUAGCGAUUACUUAACAACUACAUCCCGGUGUGAUCCGCUCAAGAGAAGGUGUCCGAAAUCCUCCCCAACAAAUACAUUUGGGUAAAAAAGAAAAAAUCACUUUAACAA